ensembl:lncRNA
AGUCUCUCCAACACCGUGGCGCCACUGGAACCUGUGCUGUUGCCUCCACCUUCUCCCCCUGUAAAUGAAGACACGGAAGUCACGGAGGCGGCAGGACAUGCCGGGGGCCUCACUGCCAGGGGAGGGUAGAGCCCGGCGCGCACAGGGGCUGCUUCUCCCGGUCACACGGCACGUGGCCCGAAGUCAGGAGACCUGGUGGCUGCUCCCGAGAGCCCACAUCGUGGACAGGCGGACUCCCCCAAUGCGGCUUUGUUGAACGAGGGACCGAGUCGUCAGGCUAUCCAGCACUUACAGACAGGCCAGGCACUCUUUGGAGCAAUGAACUUGCGGUAACUUUAAUAUUCACAUCAGCUGCGGGGGGGCGCUAUCAUUCCCAUUUUACAGAUGAGGAAAAGAGGCUCAGAGAGGUUGAGAGCCUCGCUCAAGGUCACACAGCUGAGUUGGGCUGCGAACCCCGGACGUUGAGCCCCAGAGCACACACUCUUAACCCCAUGUCCCCACUCCCAAGACAGCGGGGGGGGGGGGCGGAGCGAGUUGGGCCCCCUGGCAGGUAGUAGGUGCUUCUCCUCGCCCCCCCCCCCGCCGCGCCCCCCCCCGCCCUCCCCCAGCCCGGCGACGCCCAGCGCCGGGAUUCGGAUCUCGGCCCAGCCGCGAGGUCAGCAGCCCGUUCUGCCCUGAACCGGGAGGAAUGUUCGCGGCGGCCUCGGCCCGGGUCCGAGAAGAAAGGCAGCCUUGUGGGCGAAAGAUCCCGCUGCGCGGACACCCCCUGUGCUUGUGUUUGGCGGCUCGGGAGUAUUUUCUGGACGAUCAGCUCUUAGAACUGCAGGUGAGUGCAUUUACUCUUCCGAGAGCCAUCGCCGCCGUGCCCUGUCAGAGGCCUGUGUCCUGUAGCGUCCCACCAGCCGUGCCUCCACCCACGAGGAAACUGAGGCACAGACACAGUCAGCUGUUCUUAAGGGUGAGCAGAAAUGCUUCACCUGAGUCUCUCCAAAAAAAACAAAACGCAAAAAGCCAAACACCCACCACCGGCCUCUCUGGCUGGACUCGCGGUCCCCUCCUCACUGGUCUCCCUGCUUCCAGACUAGCUCCCCCACAGUCCCUUACAGGUUAACAGGGCCAUUUUGCAAAGCCCCACCGCCGGGGCCAUGUGGCAAUUCUGGGGACGUUUUAGGUUGUCACAACUGGCAGAGGGGUGUGCUACUGGCAUCUGGUGGGUGGAGGCCCCUGCUAAACAUCCUGCAGUGCCCAGAGAAUGAUCCAGCUCCAAGGUCAAUAGCACAGAGGCUGAGAACCCUAUGUAACCGAGUCACGUCCUGUCUGUCCGGUGCUCAGACCUUCCACGGCUCCCACCUCACACAGGAGACAGCCAAGUCUCACAGUGGCCACAGGGCCUUGCAGGACGUGCCCCAUUGCCUCCCCACCCUCCCUCCCUGGGCUCCGGCACAUGGGCUCCUCCUUCAGAGCCUCCUGCCGUCCAUCACUGUCCCUGUCAAGUGUCACUUCCUCUGAGAGGCCUCCCUGACCUGUUUAAUAUUUAAUAUAAUUUAAUAUCUGCCACUCCCUCAACCUUUCUGCCCUCUUUCUCCCUGACACUCGGCCCUGAAGUCUUACUGACUCGUCUGCCCCUCUCCCCAUCCAGGACACCAGCUCCAUGAGGGAGGGAGACGGCUGGUCUUAUGCAAAGCAGCCCCCGGCACACAGUAGGUACUCUAUAAGUGCUCAUAGAUCGGCAGUGGACUCUCCAAAGUCCUGAUGUCUGGGCAGCGGUUGGGGACGGAAGAUCCAGAUGCUGAAAGUUGGCCCCUGGAGUGGAGGCCCAGAGGGACGAGCAGGUCCCCAAGGCCACCAGGCUGGAAUUCCUAUACCUGGCAGCCUCCCGGAGGCCCUCCCAGCAGCUGUGCCUCUGGCCCCCCGGGGCCCACCUCACCAGGUCCCACCCUGAGUUGACCAAGGGCUUCUCUCACCAGAGACGGCAGCAAAGAUGGGAGGGGACUCCAAGGGCAACUCCUGAGUCAUCCCCAACAUUUAUGGAGCACCAACUGUAUGCCCUGCCUUGGACUGGGCAGCACAGAGAUCGUACCUCAGUGACUUCCUGGGGGCCGGGGGUGGUGACUCAACCACCUCCCUGUCCUGAGGCCCUAGCUGUACAAAAUUUACGGAGCAUCUACUGGGUACCGGUGACUAAACUGAAGGUACCUACACAGUGGAUUUAGGGAGGAAGACAGUGCACUUUUCUGUUGACGCUUUUAAUUAAUUUUCUUUAACAGAAAGCAGUCCUUUUGGAAAGAAGUAAAGCAUUCCCAAGUAAGAAAAAAUACAACCCUACCACCUACCGAUGCUGGGAGGAAGUUCAGGAGGCCUCGGAGCCCAGAGGGGGCACCUGGGGAGAGGCCUCCUGGACGAAACGAGCUCUGAGCUGAGGCCUCAGGAUGCGCGGGCAGGAAGGGCCCUGUGGGAGGCAGCCGGCUGGAGGCUGGGGUGCUGAUGUCGUGCACCCAGGCCCAGCCUUUGCAGCAUGUCCCCAAGCCAGCGUUUCUGGGGGGAGCUUCCUGCAGCCCUCGUCCCUGUGAUUGUCUCUUUCUGUCUCCCCGGCGCACUCUUGUGCCGGAACUCUGCGAGGUCACAGCCACUCUGUCUCAUCCACCUGUCUGUCCCCAGGGCCCAGAGCUCACAGCAGUCACCAAAACUCCUGUCUUUCCAGGAGUCCAGAAUGUGGUUUUAUCUGGACGUCGGUCUUUGCAGAGGUCAUUAGUUUAAAGACCUUGAGAUGAGACCCUCCUGGGUCAGGGGUGGGCCCUACCUCAAUGACCGGCGUCCGUGUGAGGACAGGAGAGGACACACAGACACACGGAUGCAGGUCACGUGGGGACGAAGGCAGAGACUGGAGUGAUGUGUCUGUCGAUCAGCCAGGAAACUCUGGGAGCCCACCGGUGCCCAGACAGGCACGGGUUCUGUGUCCCGGAGCCUUGGAGGGGUUCUGGCUCUGCUGACCUUGGUUUCCCAAUUGUCCAGAACUGUGGGCGAAUACGCGUCUCGUGUUUUCAGCCACCAAAUUCGUGGCACUUUGUUCCAGCAGCCGCCAGACGCUCGUAAGUUUUGCUCCUGUGGGCGAACAGGUGAGUGAAGGAAUAAACCGAAAGCGGCUCUGGUGGCCGUCCA